rnacentral:sRNA from 1 species
GCCAGGCGCAGUGGCACACACCUGUAAUCCCAGCAGCUUGGGAGGCUGAGACAGGAGGAUCACAAGUUCAAAGCCAGCCUUACCAACAGUGAGGAACUAAGUUCAGUGAGACCCUGUCUCAA